CACGGGGAUGCCUUAGUAACGAGCGAGUGAAGCGGCAAAAGCUCAAAUUUGAAAUCUGGUACCUUCGGUGCCCGAGUUGUAAAAUGGAGAGGAGCAACUUUGGGGCCGUUCCUUGUCUAUGUUCCUUGGUAACAGGACGUCAUAGAGGGUGAGAAUCCCGUGUGGCGAGGAGUGCGGUUCUUUGUAAAGUGCCUUCGAAGAGUCGAGUUGUUUGGGAAUGCAGCUCUAAGUGGGUGGUAAAUUCCAUCUAAAGCUAAAUAUUGGCGAGAGACCGAUAGCGAACAAGUACAGUGAUGGAAAGAUGAAAAGAACUUUGAAAAGAGAGUGAAAAAGUACGUGAAAUUGUUGAAAGGGAAGGGCAUUUGAUCAGACAUGGUGUUUUGUGCCCUCUGCUCCUUGUGGGUAGGGGAAUCUCGCAUUUCACUGGGCCAGCAUCAGUUUUGGUGGCAGGAUAAAUCCAUAGGAAUGUAGCUUGCCUCGGUAAGUAUUAUAGCCUGUCUGAAUACUGCCAGCUGGGACUGAGGACUGCGACGUAAGUCAAGGAUGCUGGCAUAAUGGUUAUAUGACCGCCCGUCUUGAAACACCCGACUUCCC
rnacentral:rRNA from 1 species